GAGGAUGGGUGCUGGAAUUUUUUUUUUUUCCUGAGGAAGAUUCACCCUGAGCUAACAUCCAUGUUGAUCUUCCUCUAUUUUUUAGUAUGUGGGCCACCAGCAUAGCAUGGCUGCUAACAGAGUGGUGUAGAUCCAUGCCUGGGAACGGAAGCUGGGUCACUGAAGGGAAGUACACUGAACUUAACCACUAGGCCACUGGGGCUGGCCCUGGAAUAUUUUUAAAACUCUACAGGGUAUCUUGCUGUGUAGCCAGGGUUCAGAACCACAGGUGUACACCUGGGAGAUUAGUACCCACCUUUAAUCAUAGAGGAAACCUGAAGCCGCAUUGGCUUUCUCGAGAUUCUACAGCUGAUAAGUGGUGGGACCUGGUAUACCAACCCAGGCCUUCUUUCCUGCUAAACAUAAGUCUUCUCUGAAUGAGGUAGAAGUCAGCUAGUUAACACCUAUUUCAACUGGGAGGGGACCAGAGGAGGUAUUUUCCUGCUCCCAGCCAAGGAAAUCUGAGAAAAGCAGACACUUAAGUUCAGAUUGUUCUGUUCUGUUCUGUUCAGGUUGUUUUGUUACUGACUACAUCCUUUUUACUCAAAGUGUGGUCCAUGGAGCAGCAACAUUGACCUCAGGAUCUCAUGCUCCACAUCAGACUUCUUGAACCAGAAUCCGGAUUGUAACAAAUCUCCAAGUGUCUUAAGUGCAUAUUAAAGUUUGAGAAGCAUUACACCAUGCCGCAGUGCAGUAAUGCAGAGGCUGGCAAACUUUUAGACUUUAUGGGUCACACAGCCUCUGUCACAACUACUCCAUCUGCCUUUGUAGCAGAAAAGCAGCCACAGACAAUGUGUAAAUAAGUGAAUGUAGAUGAGUUUACAGCAACAGGGAGCAUGCCAAUUCGGCCCAUGGGCCACAGAUUACAGACCCCUGUGCUAAUGUGAUAAAGCCUCAUUGGAAGAAAAUAAUAUAAGCUCAGAAAACUGGAAAAUUAAAAUUCAUGUCCUGGCUCCGGCACUUACUAGUUUUGUGACCUUGGACAAAUUACUUAACCCCUCUGGGCCUCAUCUGUAAAUUAUGUAAAGAAAAUCCUACCACAUAGGGUUGAAAACAAUUAAGUAAGACGGCUUGUUCGAUAUCUGGUGGGAAGAAGUGACUCAGUGAAUGCUGGUCUUCUUCCUUCCUUCCAACUCUCUUUGUGUACAAACUCAAUGAAUCUGGCAGUUUUCACCAGGGCACUGUGACACAGAUAAGACAAACACAGUUUUUGUCCAAAAUAGCAUUUUAGUUUGUCUCUGAAAAGUCCUCUUGUUAGUAUUUGGUUGUGGGGAUAUCUGAUCAUCUGAAAAUCUCCGACAUGUCUAAUCAAAUAAUAAUGUCAAACUACAAAGACCGAGCUCUCAAACAGUGAGAAGUUCAUCAGCUUUAUCCCUCCCUACCUUGUCGCUGCUCUUCUCCUUCCUCUACAGCUCAUUCUUUCUAGAAGAUGAAAGGGGUCUGCCCCUUCCAACCUCCUUCUCUAAGCUCAGAUCUGUCUGACUCACGACUCCCCCAAGGGAGAGGAGAAAAUAGAAAGUGAAGAGAUUUUGCUUAAAAGACCUUGAUGAUUUAAAGUUGAGGGAAGAAGGCAAUAGCUCCAUCUUGAAGGAUAAGAUUCCCAAAUUCUUUUAACAGGAUGACUCAACAGGAGAGAAGACUGCCAAGCGCGACUUCUAUCACACCUAGGACAGUCUACCAGGCAAUGAUGACAGCAGUUAAGGAGCAGGCAGUCACUGAGCAGUGACAUCUAUGGUGGUACAUAACCCCGGACUAAUUAUAAAGCGUGGGUCCAUGCAGGAAACCGUCUGGCAUCUUUUCCAAGCAGCUUGGAAAUCAGCAAGAAAACAUAAUUCUUAUUUUAGUUGUCAUUAAAUUGGGAGCAGGAAGCUGAUGGCCAAACACAUACGGAGGGGCACAAAAAUAAAACUUGGUUGAUGCCAGGAGAAUGGUAAAAUGAGAUGGGAUCACAUCAUCUUAGAGCCUUGUUCAGUCCAGUGCAGAUAGUCCCUACACAGAAUCCCAGAAAGAUGGCCUGUGUGUGAUGCUAUUUGGUUAUAGAGAGCUUAAAAUUUUGUGAGACAUCUAAUUUAUUAUAGAGUUGCUGUAGUAUAAGAAGCCCUGGGGAUUUCCAUUUAGGACAAAGAUUUGAUCACCGUUAGGGUACUCUACUCUCCAACUCACUUCCAUUGAAGUGACCAGGAAAAGAGAAUAGAGAUUCCUGAUCCUGGAAAGGGUACUAUUCAGAAUUCAGAAUGUCAGAAUUUUGAAAAUCUGGAAAGUAGGCAAUUGGGGCAAAGGAAUAGCAAAACCUCACAUAUUACCAUAUACAAAGGGAAAAUACACCUGGUAAAUAACUGGAUGUAAAUCUCUAGCAGAAUUCUAAGUUAGAUGGAGCGUGGGUGGGAGGCAAGAGUGAGCUAUAAGAGAGAAAGGGAAAUUGACCUUGAUUCAAGAAGUACACCAGGGUUGAAGGCUAGGGACGUCACUCCAAAGUUAUCCUUGACCUGGAUGCUUUCCUGAGGAUACAGGAGAAGAGCUGUCAGGGAAGGAAGGGGUCUGCAUCAACUAGUUUCAGGUUGUGCAAAACACAAAGAAAAUUCUUUAGCAUGGCUGCAGCUUUCCUUUUCUGAUCUUGUUUGUAAGAAUAAACAAAAACUACCAGAUGAAAAGAUUUAGCAAUUCCAAAGAAAGAAAAAUAGGGGUAAGGAAUUGGGAUAAAUAUAAGCUUUGUAAUUAACAUUUUCAAAGAAAUUUCAUAUGACAUUGUAGGAAGACAAUGUUAAAAAAGAAAUAUUCAAUAUCAGGAAAACAUUAUUUCAGAUAAUAAACCAAAUUGCUACAUUUUAAAAACACUCUGGAGGCCGUCACUAGCAAGUUGCAUAAUGAAGGAAACUGAGAAGCUGAUGAAAACUGAGCACAAAACAUUGUCCCAGAACUCAGAGGAAAAAGAUAAAGAUAAGAAUAUAACAAUGAGUAACAUGACAAGAGACUUUGAAAAAUGAUCCAGGAGAUCCAGCAUACGUGACACACGCAGUACAAGAGGGUGACACGGAACGAAAAUACAAGCAAAAUCAAAGAAGGAAUAGAAUAAAAGUUGCCUAAGUUGAAGAAAAAUUUGAAUCUUUACCAGGAAAUGGAUUGUCAAAUAUCAGAUGAUAUUAAUAAUAAGAAGAAAAACAGUCUUGGUUUUCAACAGAAAAAAGAUCAUAUAGAGGGAAAAAAAAAAUCUCAAGACAAAACCAAAUUUCUUCUUUACUGAACUAAAUACUGAAUGAAAACAGAACUUUUCUAUGAGAUUUUGAAAGAAAAGUUUGUAUACCUUUCGAGGGGAAAGAAUUCUAUACUCAUCUAGGUUGUAAUUUAUGAAUGAAAUCAUUAAGAUAGUCUCAGAUAUACAAAGACUCAUACCCUUCCUGAAAAUGUUACCUAGAAAAUAAUUGAGCCACUUAAAAAAAAUAAAAGAAUUAACUCAGGAAAAAUGAAGAUAUGGUGUAAAAGCACAGAUUGAAAAUAAUGAAACUACUUAAAGCUAGACAAUGUCCAAAUAAUUGUUGUAAAUGUGUUUUCUCCCUGUGGGAAGCGUGGUUUAAUUUAUUGUCCUUUUUUAAAAAUAAUUUUUUUUUCUGGGGUGAGGGGCCGACCCUGUGGCCUAGUGGUUAAGAUUGGUGUCCUGUGCUUCAGCAGCCCAGGUUCAGUUCCCAGGCACAGAACUAUACCACUCAUUGGCAGCCAUGCUGUAAUGGAAACCCACACACAAAAUAGAGGAAGAUUGGUACAGAUGUUAGCUCAGGGCGAAUCUUCCUCAGCAAAAAUUUUAGAAAAUAAAUAAAUUGAAUAAACAAAUAAAUUUUUUUUUAAAACUAGAGAAUAACAUGCUUCUUUAAAACAGACCAAAAAAAAAAAAAAAAAAAA
ensembl:lncRNA